CCACCGUCGGACACCUUUGCUCUCGGCCCCAUCGCGGUGAUCAGUAGCCACUGGACGUCGACGCGCAGAGAUUACACCGUGCCCUAGUCCUCCAUCUCGCUGGCACCCGAGUACCACUGCCGGUGUUCUCCCGUGCCUGAGCUUCAUCUCCUCUUCAGAGUAAGGUUGUUCGGAUGAGGUAACGACAAGUGAUUCCAGCAGUGAUUCGGCAGUGUAAUUUAAGGUUUCCAGCAGCAAUCAACCCUUGUUGGCAGUAACAAACCUUCAGUGGAUCAGUGAUUCCUGCUGUGAAUUUAGGUUUAUCGGUUUGGGAGAUUUGCAAUUUAAUCUUGCUCCGACUGUUGAUUUACAGUAGCAACGUUUCCAACCAGAUUUGGACAAGUUGUAGAGGACCUUGACGCGAGACGAGUAUCUCGGAGUCAGAUUGGACCUUUCUAUUUUCGGAGG